UACGUAGGGUGCAAGCGUUAAUCGGAAUUACUGGGCGUAAAGCGUGCGCAGGCGGUUAUGUAAGACAGAUGUGAAAUCCCCGGGCUCAACUUGGGAACUGCAUUUGUGACUGCAUCGCUGGAGUGCGGCAGAGGGGGAUGGAAUUCCGCGUGUAGCAGUGAAAUGCGUAGAUAUGCGGAGGAACACCGAUGGCGAAGGCAAUCCCCUGGGCCUGCACUGACGCUCAUGCACGAAAGCGUGGGGAGCAAACAGG
rnacentral:rRNA from 1 species